UACGUAGGGCGCAAGCGUUGUCCGGAAUUAUUGGGCGUAAAGAGCUCGUAGGCGGUUUGUCGCGUCUGCCCGUGAAAGUCCGGGGCUCAACUCCGGAUCUGCGGUGGGUACGGGCAGACUAGAGUGAUGUAGGGGAGACUGGAAUUCCUGGUGUAGCGGUGAAAUGCGCAGAUAUCAGGAGGAACACCGAUGGCGAAGGCAGGUCUCUGGGCAUUAACUGACGCUGAGGAGCGAAAGCAUGGGGAGCGAACAGG
rnacentral:rRNA from 1 species